GAUGAACGCUGGCGGCGUGCCUAACACAUGCAAGUCGAGCGAACAGACCAGGAGUUUGCUCCUCUGACGUUAGCGGCGGACGGGAGAGUCACUUGUGUACAACCUACCUAUAAGACUGGGAUAAUUUCGGGAAAUCGGAGCUUAUACCGGAUAAUAUAUUGCACCGCAUUGUUCAAUAGUGAGAUACGGUUUUUGUGUCACUAAUAGCUGGAUACGCGCCGAAUUAGCUAGUUGGUAAGGUAACGGCUUACCAAGGCAAGGAUGCGUAGCCGACCUGAGAGAGUGAUAGGCCACACGGGAACAGAGACAGGGUACAGACUCCUACGGGAAGCAGCAGUAGAGAAUCUUACGCAAUGGGGGAGAGCGUGACGGAGCAACGCGGCGUAAGUGAUGAAGAUGUUCGGAUCGGAAAGCUCUGUUAUUAGGGGAGAACAAAUGUGGAAGUAACUGUGCACGUAUUGACGGUACCUGAUCAAGAAGCCACGGCUAACUACGUG
rnacentral:rRNA from 1 species